rnacentral:rRNA from 1 species
UACGGGGGGGGGUAAGCGUUGUUCGGAAUUACUGGGCGUAAAGGCUCGUAGGCGGCCAACUAAGUCAUACGUGAAAUCCCUCGGCUCAACCGAGGAACUGCAUCCGAUACUGGCGGGCUUGAAUCCGGGAGAGGGAUGUGGAAUUCCAGGUGUAGCGGUGAAAUGCGUAGAUAUCUGGAGGAACACCGGUGGCGAAGGCGGCAUCCUGGACCGGUAUUGACGCUGAGGCGCGAAAGCUAGGGGAGCAAACGGG